rnacentral:rRNA from 1 species
AUACGGAGGGUGCAAGCGUUACUCGGAAUCACUGGGCGUAAAGCGCGCGCAGGCGGUCUUUUAAGUUGGAUGUGAAAGCCUACAGCUCAACCGUAGAACUGCAUCCAAAAUUGUCAGGCUAGAGUGUGGGAGAGGAAGAUGGAAUUAGUUGUGUAGGGGUAAAAUCCGUAGAGAUAACUAGGAAUACCAAAAGCGAAGGCAAUCUUCUGGAACACUACUGACGCUGCGGCGCGAAGGCGUGGGGAGCAAACAGGAUUAGAAACCCGGGUAGUCC